AGCAUCGGAUAGUUUCAUUAGGUUGCCUGAAGAACCACAAGGGAGACUGCAUCUUGCUCUCUAUCAAAAUCCAGAAUGAAAAUGAUACUAUAUCGUUUUGCUUUCGCAGGUGCGUUGGCAUGAUGCCGCGGUUUACAUGUAUCGCCACUUGCCGUGAGCUCCGCGGGUUGGUGAAGCGCUCAUACUUAUCAUCGCUGGCCUACCCUUGGAAUAGGACCUAUUCCACAAUGCCACAACAGCCCCUAUGCCGUUCAUUGACGUCUAGUUAUACGCGCACCGCGGGUCCAAUUGGAAAAUUGACCACACUAUGUAGCUUACAUAACUUGCGGCGACAAAGUGGGGGUUUCUCCCAUCAGAAAUACAGACAAUACUGCACAGAGAGCGAGAAUGAACGGAAGUGCGCUGGCGGCCAUGGUCAUCAUGGCAUCACAGUGAUCGGCAUCCCUGAUCCACCGGAAUAAGGUCCACAUCUACCUGAUAGAACUCUAUUUUCAAUUGGGCAUUAACAGUGUGGAAUUUGACAAUGGAAUCAAACAGGUAGGAAGUUUUGCUUCAUUGUGAUGAGGUUCUGGCAUAUGUCCACUGCUGAUGUUCCUGAGGACCAGGAGAGUACCAAGAUCUUCAAAAUGGCCACCACUGAAGAAGACGGCCCACAGAAGAAGAUAGUGACAGCUGUCUAUGAAUUCCACUGGGAGCUGACCAAGGGAGCUGAACCUGAUUGGACAGUCACUAACAUCUGGCACUGGAAACUGAUAGGGUGAUUGGACAAGACCCAUGAACACCUCUGUCACCAGGAUACAGCAUCAGACCAAGCAUACACAGCAUCGUUGACCUAAUUCAGCUCUGACAACAUUAAACUCAACAAAACGUUAUUAACCAACAGGACUUCAAUCAGCAGGACCAUUAUACUCAGCCAAGCGCACGCAAACUCAACUGAAACAUUACAAGUCAACAGAAGUGUCACCUUGAAUCCUAGCUGCUUUGUAGGGUGGACUGGAUGGAACCAGAGCCCUACACACUGAAAUACAGACCUAUUAUUUAUCCCUAAGUUGUCCGAUCUCAGGUUUGUUGGGAACAAUAGACUUUCUAUGAACCUCAGCAUGAACAAUUCGUUCCUACAAUAUCCCUGCAGUUAUAGAUUGUCCCAGAACAAAAUAAACUGCUUCACGGUGAUACUGUAUGACAUUUUGUCUCUGUGAAACAGUAUCACAGGUUAAACUGUUGUUCUCUAUUGUUCAGAAACACCUUAGUUGUCUGAUUAUUCAGAAGUCAAAUUGAUACCGCAUAGCAUCUAUAAAGGUAAGACACAAUUAAUAAACACAACAAUCCUCAGCAGAAGGGGGCGAUAGUGUUACACAAAUCACAAUAUGAAUUAGUGUUGAUUGAAAGCGGUUGUAUAAUAACUGGCAAGUCUCCCUAUCCUCCUAUAGAUGUUUAUAUGAUACACAUUUUACAUAAGUGACCUCGGUUUAGUUUGGGAAUAAACAAAGGUAGAAUAGUAUACACAUACCGGUCCCACUUUAAAGGAAGUACAGCUUGUAAAGGCUUUAUAUAGCAUACAUAAGCACUACAUAAAUGCUUCACAAAUCAUCUAUAAGCAUAUGUCAUAUUCUAUAAAUGUUGUAAAAACAUACAAAGUGUGUAAUGUCACAUUUGGCAAUUCACCCUGCAGUGUUAAUGGUUAUGUCACCCUUUAUACAUCAUUUAUAGAGUAUGACAGAUGCAUAUAGUUGAUUUGUGAAGGUUUUAUGUAGUGCUUAUGAAGCAUACAAAUAUCUUACAUUAUGAUUAAAUGUCUCAAAGGAAUCACAGAUGUCGGUGUACUGUAACGUAUUGUGCCAGUGCCAAAAUCAAACAUCCUCUAUUAGGCCGUCAUUGUAUACAACCAUUUGUUCUUAACUGACUUGCCUAGUUAAAUAGAUUUUUAAUCAAAUACAAUGUAAAACAAUUACACUGACAGGCUAUUGAACACUGUGUUUCAUCCAAUUCUGUCAACUCUUAAAUCACACUAUUAAUGAUGCAUCAAAAAGAGAGACAAUUCCUUCAUUAGUAAGCAUUCAUUCAUGCAUAAUGAAAUAUGGAUGGGGAUUAUUAUAAUUUCCAGGCGUGGUAAUAUGGACAGGUGCGUAGGGGGUUCUGGUUAGAGACGCUUCCUGGUUAUUCCUAAUGUGAUUAUGAGUGUGCAUAGCUUUACUUAUGUUAAAACGCUAGUGAAUAUGUUUAUAGCAUAUUAGCCAAUUCACCACGCCAGGGUGUCAGAUUGUUAAAUGGUAAUUUACAGUAGUGGAAUAAUUCAAGUGAUAAAACACUGACAAAAAGCUCAUGUGUUGUGUAUUAACAUGUUAUAUUUCUGUGUUGUUGGGUUUCGACAUAGAUUAGUGUAUGCACCCGGUACCUUUUAUUCAUCUGGUUAUUCAAGUUGAUAUUGUUAUGUAAACAAUUACUUCAAUAUGCCGUCGGUACAGUAGGUGGGUGUUUGCGCACGCCUGUGUGUAUGUGCGCACGCCUGUGUGUUUGUGUGUCUAUAAGGCUGUGGCGACAUAUUUAAUUAGGAUUGACAGAUUAACAUUAUUAACACUGACUUAAUACAACCAUAGAGUAAAUAUGUGUGUAAAUCUAAUCAAAGAGUAUGACAGAAUAAACAGGAC